CUGAGACAGUGUGCAAAGUAUUUGACAUUGUCCCCCAUGAUAUCUUUGUCUCUAAAUUUGAGAGACAUAGAUUUGAUGGAUGGACCACUCGGUGAGUAAGGAAUUGACCGGAUGGUCACCCUCAAAGAGUUGCAGUCAACAGCUCAAUGUCCAAGUAGAGAUCAGUAACAAGUGGCAUUCCUCAGUGGUCUGCAUUGGGACCGGUGCU